rnacentral:rRNA from 1 species
GUCAGGUAGAGAAUACCGAGGCGAUCGAGCGAACUGUGGUUAAGGAACUCGGCAAAAUGCCCCCGUAACUUCGGGAGAAGGGGGGCCAUCUACUGUCAACAUCCUUGCGGUGGGCAGCGGUGGGUGGCCGCAGAGACCAGUGAGAAGCGACUGUUUACUAAAAACACAGGUCCGUGCGAAGUCGUAAGACGAUGUAUACGGACUGACGCCUGCCCGGUGCUGGAACGUUAAGGGGACGGGUUAGCCGCAAGGCGAAGCUCAGAACUCAAGCGCCAGUAAACGGCGGUGGUAACUAUAACCAUCCUAAGGUAGCGAAAUUCCUUGUCGGGUAAGUUCCGACCUGCACGAAUGGCGUAACGACUUCUCAGCUGUCUCAACCACAGGCUCGGCGAAAUUGCACUACGAGUAAAGAUGCUCGUUACGCGCGGCAGGACGGAAAGACCCCGGGACCUUUACUAUAGCUUGAUAUUGGUGUUCGGUUCGGCUUGUGUAGGAUAGGUGGGAGACUGUGAAGCGGGCACGCCAGUGUUCGUGGAGUCGCCGUUGAAAUACCACUCUGGUCGAAUUGGAUGUCUAACCUCGGUCCGUGAUCCGGAUCAGGGACAGUGUCAGGUGGGUAGUUUAACUGGGGCGGUUGCCUCCCAAAAUGUAACGGAGGCGCCCAAAGGUUCCCUCAGCCUGGUUGGCAAUCAGGUGUCGAGUGCAAGUGCACAAGGGAGCUUGACUGUGAGACCGACGGGUCGAGCAGGAGCGAAAGCUGGGACUAGUGACCCGGCACCGGCAUGUGGAAGCGGUGUCGCUCAACGGAUAAAAGGUACCCCGGGGAUAACAGGCUGAUCUUCCCCAAGAGUCCAUAUCGACGGGAUGGUUUGGCACCUCGAUGUCGGCUCGUCGCAUCCUGGGGCUGGAGUAGGUCCCAAGGGUUGGGCUGUUCGCCCAUUAAAGCGGUACGCGAGCUGGGUUUAGAACGUCGUGAGACAGUUCGGUCCCUAUCCGCCGUGCGCGUAAGAGACUUGAGAAGAGCUGUCCCUAGUACGAGAGGACCGGGACGGACGAACCUCUGGUGUGCCAGUUGUACCGCCAGGUGCACUGCUGGUUAGCUACGUUCGGCAGGGAUAACCGCUGAAAGCAUCUAAGCGGGAAGCUCGCUUCAAGAUGAGGUCUCUCACCGGGUCAACCGGGUAAGGCCCCCGCCCAGACCAGCGGGUUGAUAGGCCGGAAGUGGAAGCACCGCAAGGUGUGGAGCUGACCGGUACUAACAGGCCGAGGGCUUGACCACACACAACCCA